AUCCGACGUCCUCGGCUGGGAGCUACAAGAACGAGAGUGAUAGAUCAGCGGGUGUGCGCGCGCCCGCCCGCCAGCCCCCUCCCAGCUCCGCUCGGGCAGGCUCAGACUCCAGUUCGCAUCACCCGCGUCAGCAGUCUAACACGUGCUUUAAUUGGAAUGUCAUCACAGCAGGCCGGCCCCCCUACGCCUCCCUGCUCCCGAGCCACGACCUCCGGGGCCCACCCAGCCAGACGACCCGCCAGGAAUACAACCUGACCUCCCGGAACCUGCAGGCGCUGAAAGACAGGGGAGCGUCGAUGGCGUUCUUUUAAAGGAG
rnacentral:lncRNA from 10 species